AUAGCUAAUACCGCAUAACAAUGGAUGACACAUGUCAUUUAUUUGAAAGGGGCAAUUGCUCCACUACAAGAUGGACCUGCGUUGUAUUAGCUAGUAGGUGAGGUAACGGCUCGCCUAGGCGACGAUACAUAGCCGACCUGAGAGGGUGAUCGGCCACACUGGGACUGAGACACGGCCCAGACUCCUACGGGAGGCAGCAGUAGGGAAUCUUCGGCAAUGGGGGCAACCCUGACCGAGCAACGCCGCGUGAGUGAAGAAGGUUUUCGGAUCGUAAAGCUCUGUUGUAAGUCAAGAACGAGUGUGGGAGUGGAAAGUUCACACUGUGACGGUAGCUUACCAGAAAGGGACGGCUAACUACGUGCCAGCAGCCGCGGUAAUACGUAGGUCCCGAGCGUUGUCCGGAUUUAUUGGGCGUAAAGCGAGCGCAGGCGGUUUGAUAAGUCUGAAGUUAAAGGCUGUGGCUCAACCAUAGUUCGCUUUGGAAACUGUCAAACUUGAGUGCAGAAGGGGAGAGUGGAAUUCCAUGUGUAGCGGUGAAAUGCGUAGAUAUAUGGAGGAACACCGGUGGCGAAAGCGG
rnacentral:rRNA from 1 species